GUUUAUUUUAUUUUUUUUUGGCAAAAUCAUCAGUAGGAAUUAGCAUAACCAUACAAUUGCACACUGCUAAAAUAAAAUAAAAUAAACAAGGAACAAAGGGAACAUUUUGGUUACUGCCCAAUCCGUUCACAAAAACAACAGAGGCAGGUUCUCUCCAAUGCUCUUAUUCCAUAAACUGCUCCUAAUAACUAACAUGGACAUUACACUAAAAACAACAAAAAUGGUUUACAUCUCACUAUCUGAAAAUGAUAUGAAGGUUGAGGUUUCAAUGCUAACCCCUCUUAUAUUGCUGCGAAGAACUCCUUGCUCAGCUUGGGGUCUGGCUUCAUUGACCUCUCUCCAGGCUUCCAGCCUGCUGGGCAAACUUCAUCUGGAUUUUC
rnacentral:misc_RNA from 1 species